rnacentral:misc_RNA from 1 species
AUAUAUUAAGCUCUCAACCUAAAUUUGUAACAUUGUGAAACUCAUUAAAGUGCAGGUGAUGAACAUAAAAAUGCAACAAAAAGAACCAAUGAAACAAGCAAGCAAAAAGUAACCAUGUCCAAAACAAAAAGAAUCAGUAAAAACUACUAGAGUAAAUAGAAACUAACGAGCCAAUGAAAGAAAGCAAGCAGAAAAUUCAAAAUUGAAACUAAAUUGAUAAGUCAAUCCAGCAAGAAAAUUUAAAAUUUAUCGAAUCCUAUUUUUCCAUAAUUUCUUCACACUGGAUUGGGCAAAACAAUACUGAGUUUAAUCCUACUUAGCUUGGUCGUUAGUUAUUAAAGCCAAUACCGAGUAGAACAACAUAAAUGGAAUAUCUUGUCCCUGACAAAAUAGAUUGAAAUUCAUGAUUUACAUUCUCAAAGUCUCUAAAAUUUUUUCCAUGAUUGCUUUUUCUAUUAUUUAUUUUUUCCAUAUUGUUACUAUUAACACCAACCUUUGGGUGACAUCUAAUUCCCAACAUCAUUGGGCCUCUAGAAUUCUAUUGUUGGUUUCCUAGGAACCAUAGACGAGUUACUUAAAUAGGAAAAGAUGGAAUAAGUUACAACAGAUGUAGUUCUCAAUACCUGGACAGGGCAUGUAAUACUAACAAAGGAGCUACUACAUGAACUAAAAAAUCUUAGCAGUUCUCAAAUAUGAAGCUAUAAAUUCUCUCCUUGUACUGCAUGACUGAUGCAUUAUAGCAUAAAUAAAGGAUCAGUUUGGAUAGAUUUGAUACAGUUCAUGAACCCUAUAAUCUCUACAAUUUCUCAAUAUUCUUGAUAAUAGAAACAGAAGUAACAAAAAAUGAAAAAUUUUCAUAUUAAUCAACCAGCUUAGAAAUCUUCUAAUAAGAAAAUAUGUUUGCAGAGAAAAGCAUCAAUGAGAGUUGAAAAAGAAAAAAAUGCCAAUAAUUGCAGCAGCUCGAUCUGUUUUGCCUAAUGAUGUGAAUAAGGAAUUAUAAUAGAGUCAAAUUAGGCAACCGUGUUCAAAUUCUGAUUAGGAAUUCAGAAUCAAUUUUAUUGAUAGAAAUUCCCCAUUGAAGAAACCUAGAAUUGUGAGCAAUAAUGAGAAGGUUGGGAUUAGCCUAUUACUUCACCUAUGAGCAAUAAUGAGGGAUCAAUUGAGAUCAAACUAAACUAAAGAUCAAGAAGCCUAGAACUCAACUUAACAGCCAAAUAAACUUUUUCUUCUAUUUGGCUCCCACUCUAUUCCAAACCUUUUAUCAUCUACUGCCAAUUGCAAUAAUGAAUCCUAUUUAACAUCAGGUGUAUCAAUUUUAGUCCAUAUAAGCUUUUAAUUUCAUGAAAUAUACUUUCUAAUAUCAUUCCCUUUAGUUUUACUACUACUGUUUUGCUCCCAAGUAAAGUGUUACAUGACAUGCAUAUUUCAAAAUCAGAACAUCCUUAGAGCCGUAUGAUUUACCUUCUCUUCUGAAGCCACGCUUGCUGCUGAGCUUGCUAGCGCGAAAGAUUCUGAUAGUAAAAUUGGAACUGCAAAAGAAAGCAUAUUUCAAAUUAUAAAAAUAAGCCAUUCAAAUGUGGAAUAUUAGGGAAAAAACAAAAGAGACAAACCUUCAGCUGUUCAAUUGACAAUUCAUCCAUACACUCAAUCAAAAAGUCAACAUUUCUCUCCAUAAAUGGAUUGGUUGAUAAUUGUUAACAAUCAUAAUCACACUAAAAUAAGAAACCAGUGUAGAAACCUAAAAUAAAGAGAGCAUUACAUUUACUAAAAUGUAGCUCAUAAACAGUCAAUAUCUUACCUGGUUGAUGGGUGAAUCAACUUCUAGCUCAGUCGUAAAGGCACUGAUAAGUGCAGAGUUUGAAACUUUGAUUUGUAUUAUAAAAAAGUAGCAUAUUUAUCUAAAAUUCAAAUUGCAGCCUCUUUUUAGUUCAUUCUAUAAAAUGAUAGUUAAUGAAGUACAAAAGGUGGAAUCUCAUUUUUAAACUGCCAUUUUAAAGACUAAUUAAAUAAUCUGGAAAGAUGUUGCACAAAAAUAAAUAACCAAGUUAUUCCAAAUUGGUUUGGGAAAAGCUAAAAACCAAAAGAUUCACUAAUGCGCAGAGUUCAGGAAGGUUCUAAACACAUCUUUUCCACAAAACAUAUAAAGCACACAACUGAUAAAGAAAACUAAACCAGGUGAAUAAUCUAUGCCAAUGAUGAUCAUAUGUAUAACAUACUAUAAUAAUAGUACAACAGCAAAAUCAAACAAGUAGUAAUAGUAAUAAAAGCACGCGAGUUUUCCUCUACAGGUCUUUUGGCGUGAACCAAAAAAAAUUCUAUCUUGUUUCAGUCACAGCUCUCUGUGUUUUGCAAUUGAAUCCAUAAAUCAUAAAGCUUUCUCUUUCUCCUUCUCCACUUGUUUCUCAAUGUAAGAGCAUCUUCUCCACUUCAGUUUGAGUCUUCUAGAUCUGCUCUUGAUCAACUCUUCUGAGUUUCAUUUAUGUCUAACAAACCAUGACUGCGAGACUGCUUAACCAGAAGAAAAUUGAAUUCAUGGCUUCCUGCCCCACUUCGGUGAGGUGGAUUAAUUGGGUGAAUGCUAUAAUCGGGGAAGAAGGAGAAACUUGGCAUAUUUCUAAAACAGGGAAAGGAGUCGUAGAAGACCAAAUCAAGCAAGUAAUUUGACAUCGAAGUGAGGGAAAAAUCAAACCACCAGAUGGCCUAAUCAAUAGCCCUAAUCAGAGAGAGAAGCGGGGAGAGGGAGAUUGAAAAUCUGGAAUUUGGAUUAUUACAAGUGCAGAUUGCUGAGGAAGAACAGAAAGGAA